rnacentral:rRNA from 4 species
UUAUUGGAGAGUUUGAUCCUGGCUCAGGAUGAACGCUGGCGGCGUGCCUAAUACAUGCAAGUCGAGCGAAUGGAUUAAGAGCUUGCUCUUAUGAAGUUAGCGGCGGAC